rnacentral:tRNA from 1 species
AGCUCUGUGGUGUAAUACACAUUGAAUUGCAAGUUCAAAGUAGCAGCUUCAAUCCUGCCGGGGCUU